GCCCAUAGCUGAGUGGUAGAGCAUUUGCUUUGCAUUUGGAAGGUCCCAGGUUCGAUCCCCGGCUUCUCCA